AAGGCCUGCCAAAGUUCCUGGAGCAAUGAAUUCCAUUUCCUAUGUACUGCUGUAGAGAAGGUCUGGUCCUGUGCCCCUAUCCUGCACAUCUUCGCAAGCAGCAGGGCCACUUCUGAUUAUCACAGUGUACAGGAAGAGAAAGGUCUGUAGCUCAGUAGUACAACACCUGCUUUCCAUGCUGAAGGUAUUAGGUUCAGUCUUCAGCAUUUCCAGGUAGAGACUCCUGCCUGAAAUCCUUUUGAGCCACUGCCAGUCAGUGUAGAAAAUACUCUGCUAGAUGGACCAUUGCUCUGAUAAGGCAGCUUUCUGUGUUCCUAUGUGCAGAAGGAAAGGGUCCUUCAGAUCACUUAGUCCCAAACUGUUAGGGCUUCAAAUGUGAUAACCAUCAUUUUGAACUGGAACCAGGAGCCAGUGCAAUUGAGAUAAAACUUGUUACAUGGUCUGGUUCCUGUCAGUAGCUUUGUCACUGCAUCCUGCACCUGCUGAAGCUCCUGGACAUGAUUUCAAGGACAGCCCCACAUAGAGCCAUUGCAGUAAUCUUAUUUUGAAGUGGCCAGGGUAUGUACAACUCUGGCAAGAUCAGCUCUGUCUGUAAAAGAUUGUGGUUGGGACAUCAGAUGCUCUUGGCCACCACCACAACAACCUGCUUAUCCAGGAGCAAAGCUAUAUCCAGAAAAAAAACUCCCAAACUACAAGUCUAUUACUUCUGGUGGAGUACAGUGCUGUCCAAAGCUGCAGUGGAUGGGAUGAGCCUCUGGCUCUUCUUGUGGACAUAAUUCCAAAUGUUUCUUGCAAUCCUGUUGCUUUUAAAACAAAGGCUGAAGGUGACUCAAUCAUUCUAUAGCUACCUUCAUAUGUAUGCUUCUUGGGGUUUGAAGCUGUGUGAUACGUUGCUUAGUGUUAUUCUAGUCUAGAGAACAGUAUCCAAAAUCUAGAAUGAAAACUACUAAAAAAAUUCUGCAGAUUACCAAGUGCUCCCUAGAAAGCUGAAAGAACUCAUUGAGUCUUAAAAGGAUGCAGAUUUCAGUUGCUUCAUGUUAGAUGAUUACCUGCAUAAGUAAUCUUAUUUGAGAACUGUUCUUUGCUGGAAUUGUUCUGUAUGGUUCAAUUCAUAGAUUGCCCCCUCAGUACUAAUACUGCAAGAGGAUAUUUGUGCCAUGUGGCAAACUCCAGUAGUAGCAGACCAGUAAACCUUAUAUCUAUCAGUGGAAAUGCCAAACUACCUGGAUCUAAUCUGGAUAAUCAGUGAACCAUUGCAUCCUUUGGCUUGGGAAUAAUGUGUGCCCCCCCUUUUUUUUACUGUCUAGACCUCUCUUCAGCUGUGAUUACUUUUGACUACAUGAUCUGAAUAGACUGUAAGAAUCUGACUCCAUCGCAUUGCCCUAAUAAUAUCUCUCUUGUUCUUUAAUUAUCUCCUAUAGUAUCUUGAGUUACUUGCAAGAUUGACACAUCCAACUAGCCACACUGGUGAGUCUCUCUAUCUAUUGAUCGAUCAAUUGAUCUAAUUUUACCCUUGGUUCAAGAAGCUCAGAGUGGUGUACAUAUACAUAUUGUUAUUUUUUAUAUCCUGCUGCUAAACACAGAGAUGGUUCUUAC